CUCAGCUGUAGUCAGACUCUACACAGCCAGAUCAGACCAAGGAUAGCGAACCCAGGAUUGUAGACCCAGGACUAACACAGGACAGCAGUUUCCUCUAGUAUCUGACCCAUAAGACACCUCGCCUCUCUGCAAUAUGAAGUACCUGGUUCUGGGACUCUGCACACUGGCCCUGCUGGCCUCCACCAUGGCACAGAAUUCUACAACAACACCAACAACUGAACAACAGAAUUCUACAAUAGGAUCAACAAAUGACCAAAAUAAUUCUACAAUACGACCAACAACUGACCAAAACAAUUCUACAUUACGACCAACAACUGACCAACAUAAUUCUACAAUAGGACAAACAACUGACCUAAAUAAUUCUACAAUACGACCAACAACUGCCGAAACAAAAGCCACAUGGCCAACCACUCUCACCACACCAGCAGGGGGCAGCCAUGUCUUCAGUUACUCCCUGACUCUACUGUUUGGUUCGACAGCCACCCAGAUCCUGCGUUCACUAUGGCAAUGAUCGCCACCUAGACGACAAGAGUCACAUUGACCGCACCAUCCUGAGAGCGUGUUGGAAACUGAAUGAAGAGCACCCGAGAAUGAUCUGUACAGCUUUCUCUUUUCUCUGACAAUGUGUUCUUACAAUGACCUUGAGGUUUGUGUGUCCUCUGUGUAUUUCAAGAUGCAUAAUUAACAUACUCUGAUUGACAGGGUAUAUUGCAAUGCCUAAAAUAUAUGACUGUUUUGUAAUCAUUCAAGCUGUGAGUUCCUUUGAACAAAAUAGCUAACUAUACAAAUUGUGAAUGAUUUAUUUUCUCAUAGUACAAAUGUUGAUCAGUACCCAAAUAAUGGUUUUUUUCUUUUUUCGUAUUGCUAUGUGACCCAGUUAAAUAUUUAUAUAUUAAUGUAUCAUGUAUUUUAGUAAAAGUAUGAUCUUUUAUCACAGUAAAUAGGUUUAUCUGAUUUGCUGUUGCUAUUAAUCUUAAUAUCAGUUCCAUUGUUUAGCUUUUUAGGGCACUUUAAGGUCAAUGUCUAAAAAGUGUCCACCCCGAAAGUUCCUUCAAAGGAAAAAUAAAUAUAUUCUAAUGUAAUUUAA